rnacentral:lncRNA from 12 species
CACUUUUGUUCAGCCUCUGGCAGACUCUUUUAAUAAGAGAUUUAAGGGUUUGUUGUUGUUGCUGUUGUUGUUUUGUUAAAGAUUUUCUUUAUUUAUUUGGCAGGGAGAGAGCACAAGCAGGAGGAGUGGUAGGCAGAGGCAGAGGGAGAAGCAGACUCCCUGCGGAGCAAGGGGCCCAACACAGGUCUCGAUUUCAGGACUCUGGGAUCAUGACCUAAGCCAAAGGCAGAUGCUUAACAGAAUGAGCCACCCAGACACCUGAUUUAAGUCUUUUUUUUUUUUUUUUUAUUUAUUUACUUAUGAUAGUCACAGAGAGAGAGAGAGAGAGAGAGAGGCAGAGGGAGAAGCAGGCUCCAUGCAUCGGGAGCCUGAUAUGGGAUUCGAUCCCGGGUCUCCAGGAUCGCGCCCUGGGCCAAAGGCAGGCGCCAAACCGCUGCGCCACCCAGACACCUGAUUUAAGUCUUUAUGAAGAAACUAGACACCAAGCAUCAAUAGAAUAUGUCAAGGUGCCCUGGGAGUAGCGUGUGAUUAUCUGUGAAGUGAUGGAGGUUCUUCGUACAAAGCACGGAUGCCUCAGCCCCAGCUCAGGUCCUUACGAGGGAAUUAUAGUCAUUGAGUCACACCGGCAUGUUCUUGAAGCAAUGCAAUGUCACACAAACAGAUAACUGGGGCCACUUGAUUUAAAUGUUCUCUCUUGCCCCUCCAAGGCACAUCUGAUUUGUAGAGAUGGCCUUUGUGCUAAAACUUGCUAAGUCUCUCCUCCACAUCUGAAGUGAGGGCAGAAAUGUACAUUUAUGGAUGAAUUUUCUGAGGCCAAAUCACCUGGUAGCAGGAUGGAAGAAACAGUUAUAGGUUGCUUUUAUAAAUUGCUGGGUGAUUACAUCAUGAGUUGACAUCUGCCACAGAUCACUGAAGUUAGACACGUGACACUGCAACUGACUUAGGAGGGGGUGAGAUUCCUUGGUCUCUUCAUAGGCGUUUCAGCUUUGGACUCCGUAUGCUAUGGCAUGGCCCACUCCUAAAUAUACUUAAACAUCUCUCAGGAGUCUUCACUGACAGGCUCACAGGGUAACUUCAUCGUGGCAAAUACUGAAAGCACAGUGAUACUCAGUAGGUGUCCCAUAAGCAUUAUUCAUGGAAGCUAUGUGUCUCUACAAUGAUCAUAUGAUGCAAGCACAGCAUAGGCGGAAUUAAGAAGUGC